rnacentral:lncRNA from 1 species
CUGGUUGUUUUAAAUUGUACACGUGCAAAAGCAGAUGCUUGUGUUUUGUUAUCUGAAAUUGCAGUUAUUUGGCAUAAAAUAAGCUGGCUGCCACUGAAGUACUUGUUUUUGGACUAGUCAUAUUGUUAAAUGAUAAUGAAGGACAAGGAGGGGAAAUCUCUCCAGGAUGUUUAGUUUUUUGGCAUAGGAAUGGAUAUCACUCCAGGUUGUUAGUUUUUUGGCAUCGGAAGGCUAUUUCCUUAUGCUAAGCUGAGGUGGUGAGUUUAACUAAGUAAUGGUAAUUUGAGUCGAUAUUAAAGCUGUGGGAUGUUGGGG